AUCAAUAAGCGGAGGAAAAGAAACUAACAAGGAUUCCCCUAGUAACUGCGAGUGAAGCGGGAAAAGCUCAAAUUUAAAAUCUGGCAGUCUUUGGCUGUCCGAGUUGUAAUCUAGAGAAGUGUUAUCCGCGCUGGACCGUGUACAAGUCUCCUGGAAUGGAGCGUCAUAGAGGGUGAGAAUCCCGUCUUUGACACGGACUGCCAGGGCUUUGUGAUGCGCUCUCAAAGAGUCGAGUUGUUUGGGAAUGCAGCUCAAAAUGGGUGGUAAAUUCCAUCUAAAGCUAAAUAUUGGCGAGAGACCGAUAGCGAACAAGUACCGUGAGGGAAAGAUGAAAAGAACUUUGGAAAGAGAGUUAAACAGUACGUGAAAUUGCUGAAAGGGAAACGCUUGAAGUCAGUCGCGUUGUCCAGGGAUCAACCUUGCUUUUGCUUGGUGUAUUUUCUGGUUGACGGGUCAGCAUCAAUUUUGACCAUUGGAAAAAGGUCAGGGGAAUGUGGCAUCUUCGGAUGUGUUAUAGCCCUUGGUUGCAUACAAUGGUUGGGAUUGAGGAACUCAGCACGCCGCAAGGCCGGGUUUUUUAACCACGUACGUGCUUAGGAUGCUGGCAUAAUGGCUUUAAUCGACCCGUCUUGAAACACGGACCAAGGAGUCUAACAUGCCUGCGAGUGUUUGGGUGGAAAACCCGAGCGCGCAAUGAAAGUGAAAGUUGAGAUCCCUGUCGUGGGGAGCAUCGACGCCCGGACCAGACCUUUUGUGACGGUUCCGCGGUAGAGCAUGUAUGUUGGGACCCGAAAGAUGGUGAACUAUGCCUGAAUAGGGUGAAGCCAGAGGAAACUCUGGUGGAGGCUCGUAGCGAUUCUGACGUGCAAAUCGAUCGUCAAAUUUGGGUAUAGGGGCGAAAGACUAAUCGAACCAUCUAGUAGCUG
rnacentral:rRNA from 2 species